UGCAUUAUGGGAAGCCUCGCACACAGGAAGCGCUCCGGGCUGCCCGCCCUCGCCUGGCGGGGAGAGGUGGCUGCGAGACCUAGCGUGGCUUUGAUUCCGGCGCCUGCGUGUCAGCAGUGCAGCGUGGCCCGGGAAGCUGGCCCCGCACUGAGGGUCCCCCUGAUGGGCCUGAAAGGAAAAUGCUUUGAAAUAGAUCAGAUCUGAGAAAGCUACUGGGAGGGACGUCCUCCCCUUGAGGUUGGGUGCUUGCCUGGCACCCUGAGAAGUGAAAAAUGGGGAUUAAUAGCGGUCCGGACCCCGGGAAGUGGAAGAGGCUGGAACGUAGAUGAAGGGUUUAGCCAGGAUUUCUUGGAUCUUUCCUUUAUUCUCUUACCUAGCCUCUCCUCUUUUUCCGAAAGAUGCAACCCUGCACCCUUGAAACUAAAACUGCGAUGCUGGAUGUGGGCACCGAGAAAAAGCAAGAGAACCCAGUCAGAACUUCGUUGGGCCCAACCCUUGGUCUGCAUGUCUGCAAAGAAGUCAUUUAACUAACACCAAGACCCUGAGUUGCCUAUACGAAGGGAGGGCUUACAGUUACUGACCUUUGUACACACGCACUAGUACAAGGUUAGCUAGGUAACCUAAUGUAUUCAGUGAACGUCGAACGGUUAUCGGGAACUUAAUGAGAGAUGGAGCACCUUCGUUAUGAUUUCAUAACAACCUCAAGGCUUUAUUUAGCACCUCUCUGCAAUACUUAAACAUAACCUUUCAGGUGAGAAGGAAAGGAAUGAAAAUAUCUACAUAACCAUUUCUGGAAUUCUCUCCUUGUCCACACCCACCUCCCAAACCUUGAAUGUUCAUUUGAAUGGUGCUUUUUGGCAAAACUUCAAACUCCCGCAUUAUGCACUUGUGAUGACACUGAAUUAGAUUACUGUCUGCAAGGUUAAUAUUCCCUCAGGCAUUAACCUUACUAAACCAUGAUGCUGCUUGAAGUAGCUAAGGCUCAGAAGUUCAGCUGAAUUCAAACACAGUCAACUAAGAAAGGAGCCCGACAGCUUCACAAUAAACUCUCCAAGAGCUUUCUCCACUAAGAAAAAUAGAAAUUUCAAUGACAGUGCAUAUUGUGGAUGCUAAUUGUAACAAAACAGUGGUAUAAGCUAGAGCAAGGGACAGUUAUCUGGAGGACAGCUUUCUGGCAACUUCUAGCAACUGCGAUGAUAUCAAAUUCAGAUAUAUUAAAAGACGAAACAAAACACUCUGGCAGCAAAGAAACUAACUUCAGGUUUAAUCUGUGGAGAAGCUAAGAACUAGAAAGAACUGAAAGCCAAGGGUUACGCCCAAUGGACUAAGAUGAGUAGGGUUCACUAGGAAUAGAUCUCUCUGUUUCUGAACAUAAUUAAGAGACAAUGAAGAAACAACCAUCUAAAAUGGGCAGAGUGAGGAAGACUAUAGACCAUGACUUCAAAGAAGUAAAGGUCAGCUAUCUGUGGAAUCAUUUAUCCCACAUCCCCCAAGAUGCUGGCUCGUAGGACCGCUACAGAAAAGAAGCAUUCAGAUCUCUGCUCCCUUCAUUAUCUAUCCACGCCACAUCAUCACCAGUCCUGCAAAUCACCUCGAAGAGAAGAUAAUGGUAUAAAGAGCGUCUAUGCACCCAGCAGGAGGAAUGCAGAGACCGUCCGUCCAUCGGCUGCGGCAUCCCCUCCACUGCCAUGGCAGACUUGCAUACGGAGAAACUCACAGCCUCCUAGGCUGCAGAGCCACACGUUACUCCCUUUCUGACCUCUGCUCAAGCAGAAGGAAGGACAAGGCCACACAGCACAGUAAUCUGGAACUGGAGACCACCCUCCAUUUUUCUAAGGCUGCUUGAAUGAGCAUCAGGACUCUCAUCUGUCCACCACUCAGGAGGGGUCUCGGAAUGCUUCCUGUGUUUGGGGGACUGCACCGGUGCUAAGAACGAUAAUCCCACUGAGCAUUCUAGACGUUUGCUCUUUGGUUCACAGAACAAUGUUAUCGAGCGUCUGGUAAUCGAUGCUAGAAAUACAUUGACAAAUAAGAACGGACAGAACCUACAGUGUGCACUUGGAGGAGUAAAACGAGUGAUUCAGUGCGGGAAAUGCAGGCUAACCCGGGGAUGAGCACAGGAUGCUGGAGGAGGAUGCAGCCCAGCCCAGGGCUAGCACAGCUUCCCCAAGGUGACAUUGAAACUGAGACCUGAAAGGGAGUGGUAGGCAGACGGCUGGAGAGAAAGAAAACAGCCCGGGUAGAGACCUAUUGUGAGAAACUGUACUGCAUUCAGGGGCCUGCAAAUUAUUCAGAAUCUUAGGAAAUCAAAAAUUUUACAUAUAUAAGAAUUUACUAUAUGUAACACUAUAUGCAAUAGAUAGCUUUACUACAUACUUUUAUAACAGUAUACUGUAUUAUAUAGUUUUAGA
rnacentral:sRNA from 1 species